rnacentral:lncRNA from 1 species
GGCCUUGAAGCUCUCUAGGUAGUCUAUGGGGUUGAUUGACCCAUCUAGCUUUUUAGAUGAGGCAUUUCAAAGUUGUUGGGCAGUGGCUCACGCAUGAUUGCAUCAUCAAAAGGUAGGUCAACGUGGAAGCCGGCCUGAUUGCUCCAGUCCAUGGCUUGAAGCUGCAGUGCCUCGAUCUGUUGAUUCAUCUCUUGAAGUUUACGGUCCACGUUAGGAUCGUGGACCAUGAAGACUUCCAUGCGACAUGUUGGGGAUCGAUUCGGAAUGGAUCCCUUAUCGGAGAGAGGGGUUAGUAAACAUCUCCUCCGCUCGAGGCUCUAAAGUUGGCUCAGCCCCGUUUGCCUAUCUCGAUUCAAGCUUUGUAAUAGAGAUCGAGGGGGUUAUUACUGGGGCACCUCCUGCACCAAACUCGACUGCUGUAUGGCAUUGACUGUCAUGGUCAAGGCCUACACCUGAAAAAUCAGAGUGUUGAACUGGUCUGGGUUUACUCCCACAACUGAUUGAGGGGGUUGUGGAGGUACCUCCAGCUACUAGGUCGGAACAUAGUUCUCGAUCAAGCUUUCGACCGACCGGCACACCAUGAUGCUUGAAUGCCUUGAGGAGGUCCUUCGCAAUGGGAUGUUGAUGUCCUUCACGAUUCUUCCACUAGCAUCAAUCUCUUAUGGUAGAUUCUCAACUUGGGCUAAAGUUGCUGGAGUGUGGUGGCAUCCAACAAAGAUGAUGGU